rnacentral:lncRNA from 1 species
GGUUGUAAGAUGAUUUUAUACAGUUUUAUAGGCUUCUUAAAUUAUAUGUCUUGUCUUAUACCUUGAAAUAAAUCUUUCUUGUAGUAAGAAAAUCACUUGUAUUAUACAAAAGUUUACUUCCUAAAAUAUACAACAGGACAUAUUUUCCAGUCACUUCGCGGUUUACAGCUGUUCAGCUUAAUAGAGUUAUAUGCCAAAAACAUAUAUUGAUUUGAGUUGAUCAUUAGGAGGAAAGCGUUUACAUAAAUUGAUGUGGGAACACAUUGUGACACAUAUUCUUUUUUAUGGAAAAACCAAAUUAGUUUUUAAAUAUAUCAUCAUUAGAAAAUUACAGGUAUUCAGGUACAAAAUUUGAAUU